rnacentral:rRNA from 1 species
CCGGCAACCGGCGCACGGGUGAGUAACACGUAUGCAACCUGCCCGUCUCAGGGGGAUAAUCGUCGGAAACGGCGUCUAAUACCCCGUAUGAAGCUGGACGGCAUCGUCUGGUUUUGAAAGAAUAUCGGAGACGGAUGGGCAUGCGGCGCAUUAGCUAGUUGGCGGGGUAACGGCCCACCAAGGCGACGAUGCGUAGGGGUUCUGAGAAGAAGGUCCCCCACACUGGUACUGAGACACGGACCAGACUCCUACGGAAGGCAGCAG